rnacentral:rRNA from 1 species
AGAGUUUGAUCCUGGCUCAGGAUGAACGCUAGCGGCAGGCUUAACACAUGCAAGUCGAGGGGCAUCGGGAGGGAAGCUUGCUUUCCUUGCCGGCGACCGGCGCACGGGUGAGUAACACGUAUGCAACCUGCCCUCUUCAGGGGGACAACCUUCCGAAAGGGAGGCUAAUCCCGCGUAUAUCGGUUUCGGGCAUCCGAGAUCGAGGAAAGAUUCAUCGGAAGAGGAUGGGCAUGCGGCGCAUUAGCUUGACGGCGGGGUAACGGCCCACCGUGGCGACGAUGCGUAGGGGUUCUGAGAGGAAGGUCCCCCACACUGGUACUGAGACACGGACCAGACUCCUACGGGAGGCAGCAGUGAGGAAUAUUGGUCAAUGGGAGAGAUCCUGAACCAGCCAAGCCGCGUGAGGGAAGACGGCCCUACGGGUUGUAAACCUCUUUUGUCGGAGAACAAAACCCGGGACGUGUCCCGGACUGCGUGUAUCCGAAGAAAAAGCAUCGGCUAACUCCGUG